rnacentral:rRNA from 1 species
UACGUAGGGUGCGAGCGUUGUCCGGAAUUACUGGGCGUAAAGAGCUCGUAGGUGGUUUGUCGCGUUGUUCGUGAAAACCGGGGGCUUAACCCUCGGCGUGCGGGCGAUACGGGCAGACUGGAGUACUGCAGGGGAGACUGGAACUCCUGGUGUAGCGGUGGAAUGCGCAGAUAUCAGGAGGAACACCGGUGGCGAAGGCGGGUCUCUGGGCAGUAACUGACGCUGAGGAGCGAAAGCGUGGGGAGCGAACAGG